UCUCUAGAUCGGCAAAGGGGAGGGCUGAGAUGAAGUUCGGGUCUGGAGCUUUGGUUGGUGGGGAAUCGGAAAACAGGAGCUAGGGCAGAGUUUGGGGUCGGGUAGGGUAGCGUCUGCUACAGUCGGAUCGAGCGGCUUGGUGGAGAUCGGAGGAAGGAGCUCGGCUGCGAGUGAGGUAACUUUUUUCGGACGUUACAACAUUUUUAUCUGAAGCAACGGCGGUAGCUCGCUCGCUGUGAAGGCUUGAAGGAGCGCUACCAAAAGUUUUUCGGUUCUGAUUGGUACAAAGAUAGCUCACAUCCUUUAUGUCAAUCUUCCCACCGAUUUCAGCCAGAGCUGUGGACCUGUGGUUGGCAGAGGAAGCCAAAUAUGGUGAUGAUCCAAGCAUCAACAUCGUGCUCAAGAUUAAUGACCAACAUUCAAUACUUAGGCAGGAAAGAGAUGAAAGGAAAUAAUUAAUACAGAUCGAGGUGCCUUCAAUGCCGUUAAAGUUGAAAUAUUGAUGACUCCCCUCCUACGAUGUCAAUUAUGGAGCACAAAAAACAACUGAACAGAAACAAGGGCUUUAAUGGUUACACUUGACAACACCAUGGUGCUACUGAAAUACUCAAAAAGUGGAAAUCAAUAAUACUUACGUUGUUCUCAUGGAUUUGGCUAACAUUUGUAACUAUCGACAGCUUGCCGAGCAAGAAGAUGGAAAUUAUUAAGUUAUAGAGUUUAAUUAAUGUCCUAGGAAGAAAUAUAGGGAGAGAUUAUUAUGUGCGGAAUUCGGAUGGGAGAACUGUUAAGAUCCACUCACCGUGAGUACCGUGCACAGUGCAUUUUUAUUGUGCAUGAUUACAUAGUCCGGGCGGAGCUCCGGGCCGGUAUCCAUAUGUAAUAAUCCCUCUCUAUAUAGAGAGUGAGUGAAUGUCCUUGAGUUGAAACUCAUGUUGGGUAUAUAAUAUUCAUUAUUUGUUUUAUUAUAAGAUUUAUAUUAGCUGGGAUACAAGUCAUUAUGCUUAUAAACAUAAAUCUUAUUAUAAAACAAAA